UACGGAGGGUGCAAGCGUUAUCCGGAUUUAUUGGGUUUAAAGGGUCCGUAGGCGGAUCUGUAAGUCAGUGGUGAAAUCUCACAGCUUAACUGUGAAACUGCCAUUGAUACUGCAGGUCUUGAGUGUUAUUGAAGUAGCUGGAAUAAGUAGUGUAGCGGUGAAAUGCAUAGAUAUUACUUAGAACACCAAUGGCGAAGGCAGGUUACUAAGCAACAACUGACGCUGAUGGACGAAAGCGUGGGGAGCGAACAGG
rnacentral:rRNA from 1 species